rnacentral:rRNA from 1 species
AUUGAACGCUGGCGGCAGGCCUAACACAUGCAAGUCGAGCGGUGGAAGGGAGCUUGCUCCUGGAUUCAACGGCGGACGAGUGAGUAAUGCCUAGGAAUCUGCCUGGUAGUGGGGGAUAACGUCCGGAAACGGGCGCUAAUACCGCAUACGUCCUGAGGGAGAAAGUGGGGGAUCUUCGUACCUCACGCUAUCCGAUGAGCCUAGGUCGGAUUGGCUAGUUGGUGGGGUAAAGGCCUACCAAGGGGACGAUCCGUAACUGGUCUGGGAGGAUGAUCAGUCACACUGGAGCGGGAACAGGGUCCAGACGCCUAAGAGAGGCAGCAGUGUGGAAUAUGGGGCAGUGGGCGAAAGCCUUAUCCAGCCAGGCCGCGUGUGUGAAGAAGGUCUUCGGAUUGUAAAGCACGUUAAGUUGGGGGGAAGGUCGGUAAGUUAGGACCUUGCUGUAUUGACGUUACCAACAGAAGAAGCACCGGCUAACUUCGUG